rnacentral:rRNA from 1 species
UACGGAGGGAGCUAGCGUUGUUCGGAAUUACUGGGCGUAAAGCGCACGUAGGCGGCUUUGUAAGUUAGAGGUGAAAGCCCGGGGCUCAACUCCGGAACUGCCUUUAAGACUGCAUCGCUUGAAUCCAGGAGAGGUGAGUGGAAUUCCGAGUGUAGAGGUGAAAUUCGUAGAUAUUCGGAAGAACACCGAGUGGCGAAGGCGGCUCACUGGACUGGUAUUGACGCUGAGGUGCGAAAGCGUGGGGAGCAAACAGG